UAGUGCUCUGAAUGUCAAAGUUAAGGAAUUCAACCAAGCGCGGGUAAAAGGCGGGAGUAACUAUGACUCUCUUAAGGUAGCCAACAUUAUUUUGUUGUCUCAUUUCUAA
rnacentral:rRNA from 13 species